rnacentral:rRNA from 1 species
AGUGAACGCUGGCGGUAGGCCUAACACAUGCAAGUCGAACGGCAGCACAGUAAGAGCUUGCUCUUACGGGUGGCGAGUGGCGGACGGGUGAGGAAUACAUCGGAAUCUACUUUUUCGUGGGGGAUAACGUAGGGAAACUUACGCUAAUACCGCAUACGACCUACGGGUGAAAGCAGUGGAUCUUCGGACCUUGCGCGAUUGAAUGAGCCGAUGUCGGAUUAGCUAGUUGGCGGGGUAAAGGCCCACCAAGGCGACGAUCCGUAGCUGGUCUGAGAGGAUGAUCAGCCACACUGGAACUGGGACACGGUCCAGACUCCUACGGGAGGCAGCAGUGGGGAAUAUUGGACAAUGGGCGCAAGCCUGAUCCAGCCAUACCGCGUGGGUGAAGAAGGCCUUGGGGUUGUAAAGCCCUUUUGUUGGGAAAGAAAAGCAGCAGGUUAAUACCCCGCUGUUCUGACGGUACCCAAAGAAUAAGCACCGGCUAACUUCGUG